AAAACGACUCUCGGCAACGGAUAUCUCGGCUCUCGCAUCGAUGAAGAACGUAGCGAAAUGCGAUACUUGGUGUGAAUUGCAGAAUCCCGUGAACCAUCGAGUUUUUGAACGCAAGUUGCGCCCUAAGCCUUUCGGCCGAGGGCACGUCUGCCUGGGCGUCAAUC
rnacentral:rRNA from 1 species